CAUCAACAUUAACUACACCCCAUUUUAUAAGCUUUAUAGAUGGUUGGAAAUCCAAAACUCUAGAAUACGAAGAGUUGGCUGUUGUAAUGAAUGCUGUUAUAAGUCUUAUGUGGAUUUAUCAUAUAUUUUUGAAUAAUGUCAUAUUCUGAUCUAUAAUAUGUACACUAACUCUGUUUUUUUGAAGUGGUUCCUGAUAUGUUAAUUACAUUUUAAUGCAAUAACAAUACUACUGUUAUAUUUACAUUUUGUGAGAUAAUAGAUUGUCUAUAAGGGCUUUUUUGGAAGAGUAGUAUUUAAGGUAUUCUCCAGGACAGGUAUGUUUGGGUUGUUGUAACAUUUCUUUCUUUCUUCUCUAUAAGUAUGUGUACUAACAUUUUUUUGGAAGUCUUUGCAAAGGAUGAUAAUUAAAUCUGAUGCAUGUGAUUACAAUAGAACUUAUUCAACAUCAUAAGCCCAAGAUUUGACGUGAAAUUGGGCUCACUUAAAAUACAGUAAGCAUAAAGGGUUCUGGCUGUAAUGAAUGCUGUUAUAAGUCGUGCGAUGUAGAUUUAUCAUAUAUUUUUUAAUAAGGCCAUAUUUUAAUCUAUAAUAUGUACACUAACUAUGUUUUUUUGAAGGGGUUCCCAAAAUGUUAAAUCAUUUUAAUGCAAUCACAAUACUGCUCUUAUAUUUACAUUUUGGGACUGAACGUAUUGUCUAUAAGGGCUUUUUUGGAAGAGUAGUAUUUAAGGUAUUUUCCAAAAACACAUGUUACAUGUUUGGGUGGUUGUAACAUUUCUUUCUUUCUUCUCUAUAAGUAUGUGUACUAAAAAUUUUUUGGAAGCAUUUGCAAAGGAUGAUAAUAAAAUCUGAUGCAUGUGAACACAAUAGAACUUAUUUGUCUCAUAAGCCCAAGAUUUGACCUGAUAUUGGGCUCACUUAAAAUACAGUCAGCAUAAAUUUUUUAAAAUUACACUUGGCAUUUAAAGAGGUAUGUGUUCCAAACUUAUUAUUACAUUCAAUUGACGUUAUGUACCAAUCUUAGAUGCCAAAUGUUUUCAUCAUCUAAUCCUCUAAUAACAUUGAAUUAGCAGUUUUAAGUGAUAAUUAUUUCAAUUAUACUUAUAAUAUGUAAACUCACAAUGUAGUACGAAUUACCCUGCAAAUGUUAGAUAGUGAAAUGUGACAGUUUGUUACUGCUUCAUUAAACUUAAUUAACUGAAAAGUACAGAUAUUUGUGGAAUGAAAGUUUCAAAUUUCUAUUCUUCUAGUCUGUAAUGAGUACAUGAUAUGCAUGUUUCCUAAUCUGAAACUUUUAAUUGAGGAAACUAUUUUUACAAUCACUUAGCUAGAUUCAAUUACAUUGUGUAGAGAGUGGUUAUUUUUUUCACUAAACCAUACUGCAACAGUUGUAGGCUGGAUUUGUAGAUAGCUGAUCACUGAUCACUAUGACUUGAACCCUCCCUUGAAGUUUCAUCCUCUUCAGUUGUAGUUGUAUAGCAUGGCUUCGCCACCCUGAAUUGCAGCCUGAAACUGAAAGGUCCCUCAGUAGCAUCAGCAGUAAUUGGCGGCAGAGUUGCAAUUGGGCUGUCAGCUUCAUCACUCAAAAAACCCUACAAAUACAGAAGUAUAGAACCAAUCUCUUGGUGACUCAAUACCAUUGAUCCUCGCAGCAACCCAGAAUUCACCAAACUGAUGGUCAAGGUUAAACAGCGAUUGAGUCACAUCAUAGGAUGAACAGAUUUUUACACCACCAUCUAAAACACAACAAUAUAAUUACACUUUACUCUGCAGAAUUGGAUCAACACUACAACAGCCUGAUAGAAUGGCUCAAUUUUGGACACAUGAUCAUCCCAAAAGGUACAACUUAGCUUAUUUCCCCUGUAUUACAUUCAAAUUUAAAUUUAUAUUUGAAAAUGAUGUUUAUAAUAAAAAAUAAAAAAAAGUUGACUUACAAUGCAUCCUCCAAAACAAUGUCUAUCAGCCUUGUAUUAUGACCACCAAUAAUCUUUUCUUGAGGUCCAUGUAUUUGAACAACACGACCAAUAAUAUCUAUUUUAUAUACAUAGUUAUAACAAAAAUACUGAGGAAUUUUUUAAAACAUAAUGAGAAGAAAUAUGACAAAUCAAUUGAAAGUUUAGAAACUUACCUAUAAGAUGUUUGUCUUGGGUUACCUUUCAAACUAUUGAAUGGCUUUAGUCUGUACAUGUGCCAUGGGAAAUUGUCGGACCUAAUUUCUUUCAUAAUUGUUUCAUGAUUGAACUGCAACAUAUAUUCAUGCAAACUGGUCUUGUAUGUAUGAGUAUUCGAAACAACAAAGAAAUUUUUCACAGCAUACACUUUGCUUUCUACAAAGCUGUUACUGAAGUUUUCUACCAGAGUUUUUGGUACAUGUGCAUGAAUUACAGUGCCCUGUUGAUAACUCAAUAGGUUAGCAUUGAAGUGUAUAUUUCCAUUAUUUUAUCUAAGUCUACUUUAAUGCUAAUGAACAUACUUCAUGAAAAUGCAAAUGAGUAGAGAGAAGAAAACAUACUUCUGAAUCGUGAAACACGAUUUCCUGAAAUUUAUUUCCUGAGAACCUUUCCUUAGUGGUACCAAAUAGGUACGAAUCACCCGUAACUUCAUAGCACUCCUGUUCUUGAACGUAGACAACUCAUUGGCCAGGCAAUACAUUCCCAUAUUCGAAUUACAGUAUGCAAGAAUGAGGGGUAAUUUCGAAGGGUUCUUCUAAUCUCAAUACGGUACUGUAAUCUAGAUGAUGUCUAGAGGUGUAUAUAUAUGGUUGUAAUAUAAGUGUGAGAGCAGAAGACUUCUGGAGUUGCAUUACUUCCUUUUUCAUUCCCGGAACAUAUGUAUCGAAUAACUAAUCGUUGCAACCUUUUCGAUAUCCUAAACAUAUUGCGGCUAUAUAUUCACGCCUGAAAUAUAAUUCAUUACAUUGUAUAAUUAGUGUACAUC